GGUCCUGAUUCCGAGAAGUGAAAUUUGGUGGCGUGAGAAGGAAAAACAACACAGAAAGAAGCAAACCUCACGAUGGCCAUUUGAACACAAUCGGAGCUUGUUUACUGCUGUGGACUUGGAACUUCCUCUGAAAAAAAAAUGCAUGCGAUUAGGAAAAUAACUAAGCAGCUAAGAAUAGUCCUCUGAAACCUGAGAGCCACCUCUCUUCUUUCUCACUCCUGGCAGUGCAGUUAGCAAGAAUGUAUGUUUUUAAUACGCUGAUUCUUAGCCACAAAAUACUUCUAUAAUUAGUACAAAACUUGAAUAAUGUAUUGUCUGUUAUUGUGCACAGCACAUAAUAUUUGGAGACUUGUACUGGCAGAUUCGUUCACAUAUGUCACCACGGUACCUGUAAUUUAGUUUAAUGCCAGGUCAAUGUUCAAAGUGCCUGUGUGUGUGUGUGUGUGUGUGUGUAUUUAAAGUUUUACCUGAUAGUUAUUUCAUGAGGCUUCUCAGUAGCUUUCUGAAGUAGUGUCCAUUUUAAGGAAAACGUAAUCAGUCAAAAUGACAAUUUCUUGCAGGAAUGCACAAUAUUCUUUAUUCACACAAGGGCAUUGAGUGGUGCAUCAAUGGCUCACCAACUAGGAAAUUAUUUAAUAAUUAUCCCUAAAAAGGGCAAGACUGGGUGAAUGUGCAAUUAGCAAUCCAGGGUCUUGCCCAGAAAAGUGCUAUCUUUUGAGCAAGUCUCACCAAAUCAGGAUCUGAAAUCAGUCUGCAAGACACAGUGAGGUGUUACAGAGAAGCCUAGCAAAUCCUUUUCAGUUUUAAUUGUUCAAAUGUAUCACAGAAAGACAGAUAGUUUUCAGAUCCAGGAAAUCAUUGGUUGGCAGAGGACUCAAGUUUUUGCACACGUGAGCAACCUGCCCCAAAGGAGGGUGUUUGAAACAGGAUGCGUGCCAGGCCCUCCUACAUCCAUCUCACUCCGAACCGUCUUGUCUCUAGAGGUGUGGCCGCAAGAAAUCUCAGAUGCAAAAGGACUCCCCUCUCUGCCCAAAAUGAAGGCGACCUCACCUUGCAACUCUUUUGAAAUGACGUUCCUCUCUGAUGGAGCGCCUUCCAUCAAGGACCUCAAUGCACCUUACAAAUGUGGUGAGUCAUCAAAGCCCUUCUAUAAUGGAGGUAAGUAUCCACGGUCACAAUUUUAUAAAGAAGACAAAGAAGGUGAGUGUUUCUGUUUUUAA
rnacentral:lncRNA from 1 species